rnacentral:lncRNA from 1 species
AGCCUUUUAAUUAAAUAGGUCAGGUCAGGUCAAACUUUAUAUAGACCCUGUCGUAGAUCCAUGUAAGUCGGCAUAACCUAUCCUCACCCUGUCACGCCACUGCUGACCCCGACCCUAUCAGAUGCAUGAACUUUUAUGGACAAGUUGUCCCCACUCCCCAAGAACAAGAGCAAGUGCCAAAUGACUCCAAACCCAAAACCGCAGCCAGCAACACAAAACCAGUCCCCCAUGCAAUAGCUGUAUAUAUGCAGAUUACAAAAUUAAAAGAGACACCACAGAACAAAUGAAUGAAAAGUAUAAUAGUAUAUUUAUGAACGAAGAUGAAAAUAAAUUUCUAACAAUUAAUUAAUUUUAAAAGCUUUCAUAGUUUUGAUUUACAAAUGCUAUUAGUUUUAUUAAUAGUAUAUAGAUACUUGUAUUAUAUUACAAAUAUAAUAAUGAAAAAAUUAAGGUUAAUAUACCUCCUAGAAUAUAUUUUGUAAACCUAAAACAAAUUUAAGAUUUUCUUUUUUAAACCUAAAGCCUGUACUUACUUGUACUGCUGGAAACUUGAGCCCGCACUUGUUAUCCCUAAUGGGCAACCUUGAAACUUGAGCCCGUACUUAUUAUUCCUAGUGGGCAACUUGUUAAUGAUGAAUUGAAGACCCUUCAAACCGUGUGUGCUACCUUAGGUAGGCGUGGAAUAUCAAUUGUUUUCAAAUUAGGAAUAAAACUUCAUCAAACUCAUGAACUUACUCAGUCCCUUCCAGCGUGGAAUUCGCAACAACGACCCUCAGUCAUCAUCCUCUAUAUAUUACUCCUCAGCUCUUAUAUUUAGACGCACACAGUUAUACAGCUCUAGAGAAUUAUCAUACCCUUCAAGAUGAAACCGUACCUACGUCCAAUAUUCCUAUUAUUCCUUAUCCUUCUCGACCAAUCCAUUUCGGCGAGUGCUGCUAUAAAUAUUAAUGGUCUGAGAAACAAAAUUAGAGAAGUUCUAAACAAGCACCCGAGCAUCAAUCUUCCGGCAGAUAAACUGAAGAAGGUGAAGAGACCACUGAAGGCACUGGAUUAUCUGCUUGGCGAAUGUAAGGACAGGCCGCCUCAAGAAUUUCAAGAAUUUUGCCCGAAAUUUAAGAACGAUUAUCAACAAAAUUGCCCGAAUGCCGCGUAUGAAGCAGUUUGCCCGUUACUGAAGCAAGCGAUUCAAAUAUGUUGCCAGAAACACGCAUAACUCUGCAAGCCACGGUGGGCGUUUGGAUGUGCUUUUAGUUACCACUUUCUCUCUUGGAUUUGCUUACGUAUUGCUCCUUUUGUAUUAGUGGCUCCUGUCCCACCUUGCUUUUGGACUUGAGCUUUUUAUAUUUCUGAUUGUUCAAUGUCUGUUGUGUGUGCUCUCCAACCUGUGGUGACUUUCCGGUUUAUUCCUGUGGCUGUUUCUUGUAGGCCUUUCGACCUCCAGUAUUAAAUAAAAGAUCAUCUUGUAGCUUUUUAAUUUUAAUUAUUUUUUAUUUAUAUCUCUUCUAAUAUUAAUAAUAAAUAAUAAAAUAUAUAAAUAAAUAAAUGAUUAUAUACAAUUAAUCUUUUAGGAUGAUUAUUAUUUUAAGAUAGAAAAAAAUAAUAUAUAUUUAUAUAUUGUUAUGAGAGGUCUUUAGUUAUAUGCAUAAUGCACCCUUGGCAACUUGGGAGUUGGGAUUUCAGUAAUUAUUAUUGUGGUGGGUAAAGCUAUAAACUCGGUUUUGUGUAAGUUCCUUUACUUUCUUGAGGAGUCUAAGGUGGGAAAGAGAAACACCUCUUCCAAUGUAAGAAAGUUUUUUAAAACUGGUAUAUUAGUUUAGUUUCAAUCUAAUGCCUCAAAUUUUUUUUUCUUUUCUCCUUGUAUUUUUUAUUCCUUUUCUUCUUAUCUUUCCUUGUUUGCCCCUUCAAUUCUCUUCUUUCUCUCCCAUCUUCUUUCUCUCUCCUUCUAUCCGCCACCAUAGUGCACCGUCACUUGUAGUUGCUUUGGUGGUACUCUACCACAGAAGAAGCAAGUGGAGCCUUGUUUCCAUUACUUUACGGAAAUUCACUUAAUCACAUUCAAUUGGUUCAUUGAGGAAUGAUUGCGGCGUUGUGUUUUUUCUUUCGUGUUUCUGUGUGAGUCAUUUGAGCGGUGCUGCGAAAGAAGAAAAAACUCCGGCGGGUGCCCACUGGUUGUCUGCGGUGGAGAGAAGGAGUGUUUUGUGCGGAAGAAAAGAAGUGGGGCAAACAAGGAAAGACAGGAAGAAAGGAAUAAAAGAAAAAGAGAAAAGAAAAAAUAAUUGAACCAUCAGAUCGACGAAAACUAAACCAAGUGUCAAGGGAAACGAAAAGCAUAAUAGCAUGAGUCAAGUUCAAAAAUUAUACAAAGUUUCACAAAGAAGAUCCAUAUAUGUUUCAAAUGCUAGAUUCCUUCGAAUAGAUGGCUAUGGGUGAUAAAUUAUAUAUGAAUUGCAAAAUACAAAAAAUUCGUUGCAACUUGCAAGGGAUGCAUCAGUAACAAUUGUCUAUUUGAUAUAAAUAUUUAAUUUUAUAUUAACGCAAGGUAAGCAUAUUUUUGUUUUAAUAACAUACUAUUUAUAUUUUAUUUAAAAUAUUUAAUCAGCAUGUUUACGGACAACCCGCAUAUAUAAGCCACUUAAUCUGAAAUCACUUUACUCUUACACAAAAAUAAUGAAUCAAAGAGAAAUAGAGAACUAAGGCUAAACCUAAUCAGAAAAAUCUGAUAGUUGCCAAACACAAACCCUUCCUUUUACACUUCUUCAUCUGUGUGUGUUGACUGCUACUUGCUGCUAAUUUAGGAUCUUGGCAGUUGUAUACGAUAUGCAUGCAUGAGGUCUUGCUGCCUUGUGUUUCUUGUACGACUAUUUCAGCGAUACCAACAUGCAUGGUGCAUGGUUGUUGCUAGUUUGUACGUACAAAAUUUAUACAUUAAUUAUGUUAUAAAAUUAAAUUUUAGAUUUUUAGUUAUACGAUAAGUAUUUACGAUUGCCAAUUGUGAGGCAAUCAUUACACACAUUAAAAUAGAGCCUUGUGCUUGUGGAUGGAGGCUUAUGAGGUAAAAAUAUGCCCACGUGGGAUAUCCUAAAUGUUUUACGGCAAAAUCAAGAUCUAGAUGGUGUUUGAUGAUCACAUAAAGGUGCAACUUCACAACAUAUCAUGCUUUACCGGCUUCAUUCAAUUUGGCAAUCAAUUUUGUGCCCAUCUACUCGUUUCAUCACGAAAGAAGACCCCUAUACCUUAUUUUAUUUAUUUGGGUUACCAAAAGGAAUAUUUCUUUGAAAAGACAUGCAACAACAUCACAACAGAGAAGGUUACAUAAAAUAAGAUGAAAUUAAAUAAAAUUUUAUAAUUUUAUUUAUAAAAUAGAUUCAUUUUGUAAAAUAAAUUUGUCCAUAGUUUAAAAAUUUGAAUUAUUUUAUACAUUUCCUUUAAAGUAUCUAUUUCAUUUUGUAAUUCAUGUCAUUAAAGUAUUUGUAUCAAAUUGAUUUGGUAACAUUUUCUUUAAUUAGUUACUCAGUUAAGAUAUUUAUAUUAUUAUUCAAAUUUAUUCAAUAAAUAUUAUAUAUAAUAAUAUAUGUAUAAAUCACAAUUAAAAUAACUUUCUAUCACAUGAAUUAAUUUAAAAAGUUCUCAUGCUUUAAAUUUCAAAUUCUAUUUUUAUAUUUUAAUUAUAUUUAUAUAAAAAAUAAAAUAAUGAGUAAAAUACGUAACAUCCCCUUAAAUUUUGUAAGAGUAUACAUCUUUUUGUAUUUUUUAACAUUUUCACUUUUUUUUAGCAACCUCCUUGAUCUAUAGGUUAACAUAGUGUAAUAUCCAAACAAUUAAAGAGAUUUAGUUUAUGAAUAUGGAGUGUUGGUAAUAUUUUUUUAGUGUAAUGUACUCGGAAAAUUAAUCUUCUACCAGUUGAAUAAAACUAUUUUUUUAUCAUGUAUCUUUUUAAAUUCUAUAUGUGUACAUAAAAUAAGGUUACACAAAUUUAAAUAAAUGACCAAAUUAAAAUACAUAACAAAAUUAAAAAUUUAAACACGUACAUAAAUUUAAUACAAAAUAACUUAAAAUACUACCUAAAAUACUCUACAAAUAAAAAAAUUAAAAAUUAAAUAACUACAUAAAUUUAAAUAAAUGACCAAAUUAAAAUACAUAACACAAAAUUAAAAAUUAAAUACCUACACAAAUUUAAAUAAAUGACCAAAUUAAAAUACAUAAAAAUUUAAAAAUUUGAACACGUACAUAAAUUUAACACAAAAAAACUUAAAAUACUACCUAAAAUACUCUACAAAUAACAAAAUUAAAAAUUAACAUACCAACAUAAAUUUAAAUAAAUGACCAAAUUAAAAUACGUAAUAACAAAAUUAUAAAAUAAAACACGUACAUAAAUUUAACACAACAAAACUUAAUUUACUAACUAAAAUACUCUACAAAUAACAAAAUUAAAUAUUAAAAUACCUACAUAAAUUUAAAUAAAUGACCAUAUUUUUUUCCAAUUAUUAAAAUUUAAAUUAAAUAACAUAUAUUAUACACAAAAAAUGGUAAUAAAUCAAAAAAUUACUAUGGAAUAAAAAAAUUAAGCAAUCUAUAUAUAUAAAAUUAAUAAAGUAUCAUAUAUUUCAAUAAAAACUAUAAAUAAGUAAACUAAAUAAUAUUCACAUUCUAACUAAACCUAAAAUACCAUAUAUAUAAUACAAAAAAUAUCAUACAAACCUAAUAAAUCUAAACCAAAUAAUAAUAACAUAACAACUAAAAUUAACGUACAAAUAAUUUUAUCACAAAUAAUAACAUAAAUUUAAAAAAUCUUAACAAAAUCAUAUUAAUAAAUCAACUACAACUAACGUACAAAUAAUAAUAUACCAACUCAAAUUUAUAACAUAUACAUAUAACACAAAUAAUAUUAAUAUUUCAACAUUACUUAAGAUUUAAAAGUUCCACCUAACAUCAACAAACGUAGCAUAUAUAUAUAUACAAAAUUUUUAAAAAAUAUUAUUAUCAAAUUAACUAAAACUAACCUAACAUAUAUAUAUAUAUAUAACACAACUAAUAACAUACAAUUUUGAAAAACCUAACUUAACUAAUAUUAACAUAUCAACUAAAAUUACCAAGUUAAAAAACACUUACUAACAGAGAAAUCACGUAAUAGGAAGAGGAGAGAAACCACGUAAUAGGAAGAACAAAGCACUGUCCUACAAACAUAAACAAACCUAACGUAAAUAAUUUUCAUAUAUAUAUAUAUAUAUAUAUAUAUAUAUAUAUAUAUAUAUAUAUAACAACAAAUAUUUACCAUUAAAAAAUACUUACCAAGAAGAAAAAGCAGAACAAAAUAAGAACACCACAAUGUACUGCAGGAACUUAUGAAGAAGAGGAAGAAAGCAAUGCAAGGAAGCAGCUGUGGAAUCCGUCAUGGAGCUUCUUCUUUUAUAAUGCAACAUUUUUCAAUUACCACAACUCGCCAGCCACGCUAACGAUUUCCGUCAAAUGCAAAUUGCCAUCCCUAUUGGUGGUUCCCUCCUGCACUGCUGACCACUGAACCCUGCACACCUGCAUGGCCUGACGGACUCCUGCAAAGCUGCAUGGCCUGACUCCUGCAAAGCUGGACCUCCUGAGCCUACCUAGUGGAACUCGCCAGUCAAAUUGGCGGUUCCCUAUGCAUGACAGUAUCACCAUUGCUACUUGCGAUUUGUUCACGGAGAGUAAACUCGCUAGUUCCACUGGCGAUUUGCGUGGUGCAUGCAUGCAAAACAUGUAAAUAACAGCCCCCUCCCGGAAAAACUUUAAAAAGGACCCCAUCUGGGAAAAUACUUUUUAAAAGUACCCAAAAUGAGAAAUUUGCCUAGUACUUGAUCCUUUUUCUCUUUGAAGAGGAUGAGCUCGAGAUUCACUUAUGAUCCUUGUGUUUAUUAUAAAAUUUAAUCCAUUAAUCAAGUUUGAAUCAAUAAGUUAUAUAUUAGUUCGAAUAAAAUUAGACUUGGUAUUCUAUAUUUAUUUUUUCAUGUGUAUUUUUUUAUUUAUUAAAAAGUUCUAGCAUAGUUCCAAAUAUAUUAAUUUUAUGACUUACUCAAAAUUGUUUUAAAUUUUAAAAAUAACUAUUUGUUUUUAAUAAAAAUGUAUAAAAAAUUAGGGGUGGCAUAAGAGAAAGGUCUAAGCAUAGUAAAAAAAAUAAUUAAAAAAUGCUUUUCUCACGAUGCAUAAGAAAAUGUCCCUUAUGCAUUUUCUUAUGAUCGAUUGAUUAGUUGGAGCAAACAAAAAUGAGAAAAAAUGCUCCACAAAAUAAUUCAAUCAUGUAUUUUUUUAAAAUUUCUUAAAAAUUUCUAGCAUAGUUCCAUAUAUAUAUUAAUUUUAAUUAUGACUAAAAUAGUUUAAAUAUAAAAAACUAUUUAUCUUUUAGAAAUAUCUUAAAAAUAAUUAAACAAAUAAUAAUUUAAGUGAAUAAAACAAAAAAAAGUUAUAAAAAAUAAUUUUAAAAGAUUUUUGUGGAUAAAUGAGAGGGGGUAUUUUGAAAUAAUUAAAAAAUAUUAAUUUUUUAAAAUACUGUAAUGGAUUAAUUGGAUAUUCAUCCAUAAAAAUGUUAAUUAAUGCAUUUAUUAAAUUGAUCAUGAACACAUUAAGUUUGUUUUAUGAAUUUUGAAUGGAUAUUCAUAAAUGAAAUUGUGGUAUUUUUGCUAAUGAUAAUAUUUUUUCUCAUCAUUAUAUGUAGUUCAUCUCUCUUCUAAGAAGGUAAAAAGUUAUGCUUUGUUUGACAUGUUGUGGUAUGGUCUACUUUGAUUAUGCAUAACAAAAUUGUGUUUCAAGGCGUUUUCUUUUGACUUUAAUGGUGUUUUGUACUUGAUAAAAAAGGUUGUUUUGUAGACAUGGUAUGAGACUAUGAGCAAUACUGUCCGUUCUUUUUUAAUUAGUGUAUUGAUCAUGUAAUUUAUCUUUAUUUGUUCCUUUGGUUUUGCAUUAAUUGUAAUACAUAUGUAUUAGGAUUGGAAUACCCGUUGUACUCUUUUUCUUAAAAUAAAUAAAUAAAUAAAACUUUGCUUUUAAAAUAAAUGUACGUUAGCCGCACUCUCUUUUUAAUAUUUUCUCUUAUACCAUUAGCUGAAAAAAUUAACAAUUUUGGUGGGAUUUUGUUUCUUUUAAUGAGGUAUCUCUAUCUAUCUAUAUCGAUUUUGAAAUGAAAUCCAUCCAAAUUGAUGACAUUUUAUAAAUUUCAAGCAAUGGUAAUAGAGUAUUAGAAAAAGAGUGUCAAUUUUUUUUGCUAAUAUUCCUUAAAAAAAUAAGAUCGUAUGAGUUUUUUAGGUAGAAGCACUUUGGACAUUUAUUACCAAUCCAACUUUGAUUUUUUUAUUUAUUUAUUAUUCACUACGGUGUGUUUGGAUCAACUGAAAAAAGUAGGUUAUUUUAAUAUUUGAUUAUAUUAAUAACAAUUAUUGGUAUAAUACAUUAUAAUCCGAAUAAGUUUUUGUUUGAGUUUGUUUCUUGUAAACUUAUAUAUUUUAAGAUAAUUAUUUUUUUAUGGAUGAAGAAAAUAAUUAUUUUUUAAUUAAAAAAAUACCUUUAAUUUUACAAAUUUGAGUUGUUUUUCAAAUUAUAUAAGAUUAACACACUAUAAAAAAACUAAAAUUUUCAAUAUACCGAAUCAUCAUUCAGAUAGUCUCUUCUCUCCAUGUGAAGAGUUAUAAAAAUUCUAUUAAGAAAUAAAAAAACUUCCGGUUGAAGAAGAAUAAUGAAGUCACCUAUAUCCAUGUAAAUCUUGUUUCCUAUCUCUACAAAUAUGAAGGAAUUUUUUAAUUAUUAUUCAAAAAAGUUUCUUCUAUUAUUUUCUCUUGUAUUAUUCACUAAAAAGACUAUAAUAAUAACGGAAUUACGGUUAGAGAGUAAAAAAAAAGAAUUCAAGGUUAACACCAUUGAGGAAAAAAAAAAUCCUUUCUAUUAGAACAUCUAAAAAGUUUUUUAUAUGAUUUUUAGUAAAAUAAAAAAAUAUUAAGCAUAAACAACACAUUGGGAAACAUUCUCGAAAGUUUUGAGUAAAUGAAUGUAACUAACAAGUAGAAAUAAUAAGAUUUCUCUUUUAUCCCAUUUCAUUAAUUCAUUAAGUAUGUAUAAAAAAGCGAUCAAUAUAGAAUCUCUUGCAUACUUAUACUCUUUCUUAUUUCUAUUUGAAAAUUUUUCUUAAUGUUAACAUUCUCGAACAGGUGUUAAGAAAAGUGCUUAAUUAGAUUAGACAUCAUUUACGGAUUCAGAUACAUUAUGUUAUUUAGACAAUUAUUAUAGAUUAAAAUAUUUCUAAAAAUUUUCAUGAUAAUUUGAUAUAAUGUAUUCAUAAUGAUUAUAUUAGUAUUUUAUAAGAAUUUUUCUAAAAUUACCAACCAUUUAUGUUCACAAUUGAAACACAAUUAAAGACCAAUAAAAUUUACUAGAACAAAUAACGUAUUUGUUAGAUUUUAAACUAGAUAUUGGGUUCAUAUAUUUCUAAGCACAAACAAACUAGAACAAAUCCAAGUUGAAUUGCAUCAAAUUUUCUAAAAGGCUAUUAGACAAUGAAUAUAAUCAUUAUUGGUCUUGGUGCUUAUAAUUAUACAAUAAAUAUGAACUUAGCAGACAAAAUGAAAAUUAUUUUUAACUUUAUUAAAAGAUGAGGAAACCAAAAAUUCACCUGGCAGAAGAAACUACUAAUGUACAGAAGCAGAACAAAUCUAAAUCUACAAAAAUGAAACGAAAGCUUGAGUAUAUUGCUGCAUAUACCAUCAAGAAUGAACAGUUAACAUGGCCUAGUGUCAUGAAUAAACACUUAAUCACCCAAAGAACCUAGAAGGAGAACAUAUGAGAUGGAAAUUAAGUCAUUUACCUUUCAACAACCAAGGUCAUGCCAUAAGUUGCUAUCUCAGGAAAUUUCCCGAAGCUAUCAUUAGUUCAUUACCAAACUAUUUAAUUUCAUUGACAUAUGUCUUGCUACCAGAUUUUAUGUAACAAAGAUUUUAAAAGCCUUAUAAAAAGCCAAGAUUGCAUGUGAAUCAAAUCGUAAAAAGGGUACAAUUCAAUAGUUUUGCAAAAAUAUAAUUGUAAUAGCUACAACAUCACAAUACUUCAAUUUCAAACAUGAAAUUAAACAUAUGACUUAAAACAACACUAAAAUUCUUUAUUAUAAUAUGUGGAGCCUCAAAAAAAGAAUUAAAAAGAAAUUACUUCUAUAUAUUGCUAGGAAACAGAAUCAUGAUUCCUCUAAAUCCAAGCUUUCAAACCAUUUUAUAUCCUAUUUAAGUCAAAUCGUUAAAACGUAUCUUUGUAUCCAUUUUAUGAAAGUGAAAUCAUCUUUAAAAUAUUAAUGCUUUAGGCUAAGACAAAUCAUCCCCAUUUUCAUUGCAUCGGUUGGAAAUCAUUGUAGCACCCGGCCAUAUCAAAUAAAUUAGUAUGUAAAGCACUAUUUCUUCCUACUUAGUCUAACCAAAAUUAAUUAAAAUGAAUAGGAGAUUUGUUUUAAUUAGAGUUAGAGUCCUACAUUACAAAUUGAGAUUAUUUGAUUCAUUAAUAAAUUUUAAGAGCCAAACAUUUCACAAAAUUAAUCUUAUGUGUUUAACCCAUGAUAACCGAUAAAUAUGGAUUAUUUUUUAUAAUAAAAAUAUAUUAAAAAUAUCUUUAAAAAUAUUUAUUUAAUAAUUAUUUUUAGCUUAAAUAUUAUGAAUUGAUAUUUUUUUCUAUUUAUAACUUACAUGUAUGAAAAAGAGGAAUUAAAAAAGAAAAAAAGAUUAAAAAAUAUAAAAAAUAUAAAUAAGAAAAAUGUUGACAUUAAACCCAAGUCUAAGGAAAACAAUCACGUUAACCAUUCUAAGAUUGAGAACUCUCUCAACCUAUUUUUUUUUGUAUUUUAAAUUAAUUCCUAUCUCUGUCUGUCAAUUAAAUUUAUAUUAAUUUAAGUAUAAAUAAAAUUAAUACUUAAAUUUUUUAAUAUUUUACUAUUUAAGAUAAUUUGAUGCAUUUAUGAAUGAGUUACCAACCCACUCAUACACUACAAUUAUUCCCUUGAAAUUCAGCUAUUAACAAUGAAGAAUUGGCCCUAUAUAGUAGCAGAAGUGGAUAUAUACCGAUAGGGGAGGAUAGCAAAAGCCAUUCAAAAACAAAGAAAAACAUAAUAUGUAGCUUUAUCCAUGUAUUAGGAUCAUAUUCGUGUAGCAUUAAAAGAACAAAGUUUUUUCAGUGACAAACUCCUAAAAGCAUCAUGUCAAAGCCGUAGAAUCAACGAGCAUCCCAUAAAUAAAAAUAAAUAAAAUCACCAUAUUCAUGCACAAUUACACGUAGAAAUUAAUAAAAUCUUGUCCCCCGACAUCCGUACAACAAGAUAACGAAGAAAAAUCUGGUUGAAGUCUACCAUAAACCCAAGGCCUUCAAUCCAAAACAUAUUGCAUUAAAUCAGGAGUUUCAACUUUCAAGCUAUUAAUCCAAUUAAGAUUUUAUAUCCUUUUUUUUAAUAUUCAACUUGAGCUAUCUGUCUCCAUUAUUAAAUCUUUAAAGUUCUGAAAAUGAAAAUUCAUCAUCCCUAUAGAACACAAAAUAAUACAGAUAGACAAGUGCAAGUUAUUACACAAAGUUGAUAUUCAAACUAUACAAUAAAAAGAGGAUCGAAUGACAAUAAUGAGAGUGAUUAAAAAAAUAUACAAAUUCAAGGUCAUGACAACUCUGAUUCUGUGAAAAGGGAAGUCCAAAUGAAUGAAGAAUAAAAGACACUCAUUACCUAGUGUUUAGUUAACUUUCUGCUAGAAAUACUCUUACUUCGAGCCACAUCAGGUGCCAACUAAUUCUAUUUCUGCUCUGAGAAACUACCAUAAAAAUUUGUUUGGGAAUCCACAACCCUACCACCUUUUUCUGCAAACCCCUAAUUGAAAAGAGAGUAUAAUAAACACAAAAAGCUUGUGGGGAAAAUUAAAAGAGAGGGAGAGGGAGAGGGAGAGAGCACGAGAGAAAAAUUAAAAUUAAAAUAAUAUUUUUAGGAUAGUUGUAAAUAUUGUAUCAUGUACCAUAGAAAUGAUUAUAAAUGUAUCUAGAUUCAUGUACUUGUCCCUAUAAAAGACUAAUAUUUUUAACAGAAAAUAAAAAAAAAAGAGUUAAAAUGAAACCAUAAAAAUUUAAAAUAAAACUUUUAAAAUUUGAUAUACUAAAUCAGAAAAGAAAAAUACUAAAAUAUAAACGAUGAAAAUAUUUUUUUUUAAAACUUAAUAUUCCUAAAAAUAAAAUAAAAAAAUACAAAGAACCAAAAGUAAUAUAUAUCUGGAGGCCUAAAUGCCAAAAACAAUCACACAACUAAAACGAAAAGGCAUCAUCUGGAUGGGGCAACGCAUUCAACAACUAAUGAUACUCCAAAUUAAAUGAGUAAAUUUAUAAAUGUACAAUCCAUUUUUGUGUGGAUUGGACAAGGCAAUUAAGAGAGAUGUGAUAUCAUAGCAAAUAUAGAUAUUAAAAAAUAUAAGAUGAAAGAGAAUGAGUUUUAAGUAGGAUGUAUGUUUAUAAUGAUAACUCCUAAUACUAUUCUUCCUAAGCUCAUAAAUCCAUAACAUCCAAGUUUGUGUGAAACAUAAGACUUAGACUUGGUGUAUAUUUGAAUUAAAGUUGACGAUUUUAAUAUUAUAGUAGUUUUAUUGUAUAAGUUCAAGAAGGACUUUGGUCUUGCUUUUUUGUAAAUUUGAUUUCGAAUAUAAGUGUGUAAACAUACUCUUAAAGAUAACUAAACAUACUCUUAAAGAUAACUAAAUAUAUCAUAUGAAAUAAAAAUGAGUUUAUGCUCCAAACCAAGUUUAAAACACCAAAAUAAAAUCCAAACAUGUUGAUAUCGAUGUUAUUAAUAGUCUAAUGCAAAAGAAGCAAAUCGUAGACAGAAAAUGAUAACUAAAAGCAUUCACCAAAGCCCACCAUGGCAAAAGUUGUGAUUAGUAUAUAAUGUUGGAGCAUGUUGUGCUUAUUAGAAAUCGAAAGCUCCACCUUUGGUUUCUUUGAUGACAAUAUAUAAGAGUGCCGUUGAGGUAGGUGACGUUGUAGUAGAAAUUCAUGUCGGGGACAACACAUCGUGGUAGCACCUACUGAUGGGGUGACAACACAUCUUUAGCAGGACAAUUAAAGAAUAGUCGAUGAAGAACAAUUGAAUAAAAAGCAAAAAAGAAUCACCAAUUCGAAACAAAUAGUAUAGCACUGCACUACUAACUCACCCCAUCAACCGCAAGUGGCAAAUGACUCCAAACCCAAAACAAUGAAGAAAAUAACCAUUAGUUAAAAUUCGUGAAAUGGGAAUAUCUGAGUAUAAAAUUACAACUAAUCUGAAGGAAUCUGCUAAACAACCUAAUCUUCUAUCAUUUUCAUUUGAUAUUUAAAUUAUUGACUGCUGAAACAAAACUCAUAAAAGAUAAAAUCUGCAACAAUAAUAAUAGAACUCUAUCUAAAACUUAUUCAAAAUUCAAAUAAGGCAGGUCUCAUAUCUUAGCUAGACANNNNNNNNNNNNNNNNNNNNNNNNNNNNNNNNNNNNNNNNNNNNNNNNNNNNNNNNNNNNNNNNNNNNNNNNNNNNNNNNNNNNNNNNNNNNNNNNNNNNCUGGUUCUAAUGUCACGACAGGGGACAUACGCCUCAAAGGUGCCAUAUGGUCGCUGCCGAGUGAAAACGAGAGCCUGUCGUGGGAGGACGGAGUUUUGGACUUGGAGAGUGCGGCGAUGCAUCAGAUAGGGCAUCUUCUAGGGCUUGACCACUCUAACAAAGAGGACUCUGUUAUGUACCCUAACGUAUUGCCAUGGCAGCAACGAAAGGUGGAGCUCUCGGUUUCUGAUAUGGAAAACAUUCAGCGUCACUACACUAACGGCAUCUCUGGCCACAGUGGGCGUUGGGGAGUGCUUUUAAUGAAUAUCUUGUCUCUUGGAUUUGCUUACGAGCUUCUUUAAUUUUGUAUUGGUAUUUGGGUUUAUGAGCUUUUGGGAACAAUUUCAUGACUGUUGACUUGAGUAUAAUGCAUGUGUUCCCCAAACCAGGCAUGACAAUCAAACCCAUAUCCGUGAUAUUGUUCAAAGAAAAUACACGUACCUUAAAAGAAAAUACUCUGGGAGCCAGAACAAAUUAAAUCUUACUAUAUAUUAACUACCUUUUUUAUAUUUUUAAUUUUGGAUAAAAAUAUUUUUACUCCAUCUGAAAUAUGGGAAAUUUAAAAUUAGUCUCUUUAAAUUUUUUUGUCUCAAUGUCUCUAAAAUUUUAACAUGUUAUUUCAUUUAGCAUGUUAAUUAGUUUGUUACUAAACAAUGUAUCUAACACCUUAUGAUCACCAAUUUUUCAUUUUCUGUCAGUUCACCCUGUGACAUUUUUUCACUUUCUUUGGCCAUUCUUAGGGAUUCUUGGAGCAUCAUUCACCUCUUGAUCAUGGCGCACUUGAUGCCUUGGAUUUUUUGGAGGUUUAAAAUGCAUGGGCUGGGAUUUUUGAAGAUCAAGGUUAUUGUCACCUAAACACGUGGUUUUCUUUUCUAUUUCUACCAUCUUAAAAUACUUUUAUGCUUGUAUUUAUUGAUCUUAGUUUGGGGUUUGAAUUUCUUUUUAUCAUGACCAUCUAAGCUUAUAUUAUGAGGGAUGUUGUGACUUGAAUAUUAUGAAUUUUUCUAAUGUGUUGUGUAUAUUUGUCUUAUUGUACUUAAUUUUGAGUUUGGGAAUUGACUUUAAAGUGUUAAUUAAUAGACUAAUUAGUAACCAUCCAUAGAGACGUUCCCUAAUGUUCCAUUCAAUUAAUUAUACUUUUAGUAGUUUUUAACCUGUGAAGUUCAAAUAAUUAAGACGAAAAAAAUAGCAAAAGAAAUAUAUUAAAUGGCCACAACAUAGGGGACGUACGGUGCUUUAACUUUGAUAUUAUUAGCAUAAUCUUUUAACAAAUUGAGUUAAUGAGUCAAUUACGUUAUAAAAUAAAUAAUGUUACUAUACGUAAUAUUAAAAUUUCUAAUGUAUAUUUAAUACGGAUGUAAAUUUAAAUAAUAAAUUUUGUGACAAUUAAUUUUGAUAUAAGUCAUACAAAUUAUUUAAUUCGUAUAAUUUAUAUCAAAAUUAAUUGUAAUAAAAUUUAUUAUUUAAAUUUAUAUGCGUAUUAAAUAUACAUUAGAAAUUUUAGUGUUAUGUAUAGUAACAUUAUUUAUUUUAUAACAUAAUUGAUUCAUUAACUCAGUUGAUUAAAGCGUUAUGUUAAUAACCUGAAAAUUUACAGAAGAAUUUUUUUUUUGUAAGAGUUACGAGUGAAGGACAAGGCAAAAUUAGAAAAAUAAAAAAAUACUGGGUACAUCAGAAAUACUAUUGAUACACCUAGCAACACUCUUUUAGAAGGUAGCUUAAUAUAGAACUUAGCUAAGAAGUAAAUAAAUGUUUGUUAAAAAUUAUUUUUCUUUCACGAUCGAACUCAAAUAAUUUAAUUUUAUUUUCAACACAUUAAUCAUUUUAUUUUAUGUUGAAUCAUUUGAUUUCAAGUCAUAUGUUCUUAUCAAUCCUUAUCAAUGAAGUUUUCUCAUAUGUUAAAAAAAAGCCCCGAAAAUAAAGAAGGGCAAAAAAAGAAAGGGCCUCAAUAAAUGGAGAUAGAAAAAAAUAGUGAGUUCAUACAAGCAAGCCUUCGGUGAAUGCCACUUUAUCAAUCCAGAAAAGUACGAUUGCUCGAAAGGAUAAAUAUAUUUAGAUGCCGAAAAUACUAUUAUACACCUAUUAAAAAAGAGUGAAUUUUAUAAGUAUAUUAAAUAUAUGAUGUGAUGUGAGAAGAAGAAAAAAAAGAAAUGUUAAAAAACUAUUUAAAAUAAUGGAGUAUUCAAAAAUAACAUAUUUAGUACUUGGGCAAAUUUCCCCAUUUGGGGUACUUUUAAAAAGUAUUUUCCCAGAUGGGAUUGUUUUAAAAGAUUUUUCGGCAGGGGACUGUUUUGCACGUAAAAUGCAUGCAUGUUCCAAGCAAACUGCCAGUGAGACUGGCGAGUUUGCUCUCCAUGAACAAAUAACAGGUAAUAAUGGCGAUACUGCCAUGCAUAGGAAACCGCCAGUUUGACUGGCGAGUUCCACUAGGUAGGGCUUCAGCUUUGCAACAGGGAGCUCAGGAGCUCAGGCUUUUGCAGGAUGCAGGCGUGACAGGGAAAUCGUCACUCCUAUAGGCGAGUUAGUCUAAAGUGGAGUUGCCAAUGGUAUUGGCGAGUUAGGUGGGAGGUGCCACCUGCAUUGGCGAUUUAGCGUGUAAAUAUAGGUCCUUUUACGUUGCAGUUUCAGUGUGUGUUGCACUUUUUUAAAAGCUCUCAACUCAAAAUUUCCUUCUUCUCACGUAGUUUCAGUGUGUGUUACACUUUUUUAAAAGCUCUCAGCUCAAAAUUUCCUUCUUCUCACGUUUACAUUUGUUUUGUCAUAAGCUUUCCAAAUUUGGUGGUUCAGGUUUAAUUUGUAGCAUCAAUAUUUUCAGUCAAGUAAUUUUUUUUUAAUGUGAAGUUUUGAAUAAUUUUUUUAAUUAAAUUAGCUUUAUAUUUCUUAUGGUUGUUGGUGUGUGUUUAAAAUAAAAGAAAUUUGUACCAUCAUCUUUAUUUGAAGAAAAUAUUGAGUCCAAAAAUUGUAUUUUGAAUUUCAAGUUUUUAUUAUAUUUUUAAUUAGAUUAGGUUAGUUUUGAUGUUUUGUUAUUGUGUUAAAAAUUGAUCAAGUGUAUACUUUUAAAAGAUUUUAAAACUGAAAAAUUUUGUACCAUCAUAUUUAUUUGAAGUAUUUUGAGUGUGGAAUUUUUUUUAAUAUGAGGUUGUAGUAAUAUUUUUUUUAAAUUACUUUAGGUUGAUGUUAAUGAUUUGUUGGUAUGUGGUAAAAAUUAAUGAGCGUUGAACUUGAAUGGUAUUUUAAAUUUUAAUAUGAAGUGUGUAGUAUAUAAUUAAUAUGUGUACUUUUAAAGUGUUGUUUAGUUCAGCGUUUUUAAAUUUAUACUUUUAAGUCUAUGACAUCAUUUUUAUUUUAAUGUAUUUAUAGUAAUUUUGUAAUUACGUUUAUUUAUUUAGAAUUUAUUAUUGUUAACAUUAAUUAUUUAUAAUACUAACUUUGGUUAUGGUUUAUUUUGCCUUUAAAAUUAGUUCGUUGGAAUCGUUUAUAUUUUUUAAGUGUGUACCAUUAUAUUUAUUUAAAGUUAAUAUUUUUUGUAUAUAAUAAAAUUAUAAUGUGAAGUUCCAGCAAUGGGAUUUUUUGUGAUUUCAUUUUGUUAUUUUGAAUUUAUUAUGAUUAAUUAUUUAAAAUAUUGUUUUUGUAGGUACAUCAUGAAUUCAGUUAUAAUAGUAUUAUAUUUCAAUGAAAGGGUAUAUGAAGAUAAUGAUGGUGUAAGAUUUGAAGACAAUAAAAAAGCGAUUCAGAUUAAACGUGGAAUUAGUUUCAAUGUUUUGAAGAAAAAAAUUGGAGAUAAUGUAAAGUUAGAAAAUAAUGAAAUUAUUUGUGCUAUCAGUUGUAGAUUUUUAGUGUCUGAAAAAUAUGUUGCGUUACAAAUUUGUGAUGACGAAGAUGUUGAAACCAUGCUCAAAAGUUUUAAACAACAAGAUCAAAUGUCAGCUUUGAAAUUGACAACAAAAAUUUUACAUUAAAAAAAUUAACUACACUUACAAAAAAUCAAUUGAAUAUACAUACCACAUAAUUAAAAUCUGAAUAAAUAACAAAAUACAUCAAUUUGAACAAAUAACAAAAUUAAAAAUAACAAUACGUACACAAAUUUCAAUAAAUGCUCUAAAAUACUCUACAAAUAACAAAAUUACAAAUUAAACACGUACAUAAAUUUAACACAACAAAACUUAAAAUAUUACCUAAAAUACUCUACAAAUAACAAAAUUAAAAAUUACAUGCCUACACAAAUUUAAAUAAAUGACCAAAUUAAAAUACAUAACAAAAUUAAAAAUUUAAACACGUACAUAAAUUUAAUACAAAAUAACUUAAAAUACUACCUAAAAUACUCUACAAAUAACAAAAUUAAAAAUUAAAUAACUACAUAAAUUUAAAUAAAUGACCAAAUUAAAAUACAUAACACAAAAUUAAAAAUUAAAUACCUACACAAAUUUAAAUAAAUGACCAAAUUAAAAUACAUAACAAAUUUAAAAAUUUAAACACGUACAUAAAUUUAACACAAAAAAACUUAAAAUACUACCUAAAAUACUCUACAAAUAACAAAAUUAAAAAUUAACAUACCAACAUAAAUUUAAAUAAAUGACCAAAUUAAAAUACGUACAUAACAAAAUUAUAAAAUAAAACACGUACAUAAAUUUAACACAACAAAACUUAAUUUACUAACUAAAAUACUCUACAAAUAACAAAAUUAAAUAUUAAAAUACCUACAUAAAUUUAAAUAAAUGACCAUAUUUUUUUUCCAAUUAUUAAAAUUUAAAUUAAAUAACAUAUAUUAUACACAAAAAAUGGUAAUAAAUCAAAAAAUUACUAUGGGAUAAAAAAAUUAAGCGAUCUAUAUAUAUAAAAUUAAUAAAGUAUCAUAUAUUUCAAUAAAAACUAUAAAUAAGUAAACUAAAUACUAUUCACAUUCUAACUAAACCUAAAAUACCAUAUAUAUAAUACAAAAAAUAUCAUACAAACCUAAUAAAUCUAAACCAAAUAAUAAUAACAUAACAACUAAAAUUAACGUACAAAUAAUUUUAUCACAAAUAAUAACAUAAAUUUAAAAAAACCUAACUUAACUAAUAUUAACAUAUCAACUAAAAUUACCAAGUUAAAAAACACUUACUAACAGAGAAAUCACAUAAUAGGAAGAGGAGAGAAACCACGUAAUAGGAAGAACAAAGCACUGUCCUACAAACAUAAACAAACCUAACGUAAAUAAUUUUCAUAUAUCAACUACAAUUAAGUUAAUAUAUAUAUAUAUAUAUAUAUAUAUAUAUAUAUAUAUAUAUAUAUAUAUAUAUAACACAACAAAUAUUUACCAUUAAAAAAUACUUACCAAGAAGAAAAAGCAGAACAAAAUAAGAACACCACAAUGUACUGCAGGAACUUAUGAAGAAGAGGAAGAAAGCAAUGCAAGGAAGCAGCUGCGGAAUCCGUCAUGGAGCUUCUUCUUUUAUAAUGCAACAUUUUUCAAUUACCACAACUCGCCAGCCACGCUAACGAUUUCCGUCAAAUGCAAAUUGCCAUCCCUAUUGGUGGUUCCCUCCUGCACUGCUGACCACUGAACCCUGCACACCUGCAUGGCCUGACGGACUCCUGCAAAGCUGCAUGGCCUGACUCCUGCAAAGCUGGACCUCCUGAGCCUACCUAGUGGAACUCGCCAGUCAAAUUGGCGGGUCCCUAUGCAUGACAGUAUCACCAUUACCACAACUCGCCAGCCACUCUAACGAUUUCCGUCAAAUGCAAAUUGUCAUCCCUAUUGGUGGUUCCCUCCUGCACUGCUGACCACUGAACCCUGCACACCUGCAUGGCCUGACGGACUCCUGCAAAGCUGCAUGGCCUGACUCCUGCAAAGCUGGACCUCCUGAGCCUACCUAGUGGAACUCGCCAGUCAAAUUGGCGGGUCCCUAUGCAUGACAGUAUCACCAUUGCUACUUGCGAUUUGUUCACGGAGAGCAAACUCGCUAGUUCCACUGGCGAUUUGCGUGGUGCAUGCAUGCAAAACAUGUAAAUAACAGCCCCCUCUCGGAAAAACUUUAAAAAGGACCCCAUCUGGGACAAUACUUUUUAAAAGUACCCAAAAUGAGAAAUUUGCCUAGUACUUGAUCCUUUUUUCUCUUUGAAGAGGAUGAGCUCGAGAUUCACUUAUGAUCCUUGUGUUUAUUAUAAAAUUUAGUCCAUUAAUCAAGUUUGAAUCAAUAAGUUAUAUAUUAGUUCGAAUAAGAUUAGACUCAGUAUUCUAUAUUUAUUUUUUCAUGUGUAUUUUUUUAUAUAUUAAAAAGUUGUAGCAUAGUUCCAAAUAUAUUAAUUUUAUGACUUACUCAAAAUUGUUUUAAAUUUUAAAAAUAACUAUUUUUUUUAAUAAAAAAUUAGGGGUGGCAUAAGAGAAAGGUCUAAGCAUAGUAAAAAAAAAAUUAAAAAAUGCUUUUCUCACGAUGCAUAAGAAAAUGUCCCUUAUGCAUUUUCUUAUGAUCGAUUGAUUAGUUGGAGCAAACAAAAAUGAGAAAAAAUGCUCCACAAAAUAAUUCAAUCAUGUAUUUUUUUAAAAUUUCUUAAAAAUUUCUAGCAUAGUUCCAUAUAUAUUAAUUUUAAUUAUGACUAAAAUAGUUUAAAUAUAAAAAACUAUUUAUCUUUUAGAAAUAUCUUUAAAAUAAUUAAACAAAUAAUAAUUUAAGUGAAUAAAACAAAAAAAAGUUAUAAAAAAUAAUUUUAAAAGAUUUUUGUGGAUAAAUGAGAGGGGGUAUUUUGAAAUAAUUAAAAAAUAUUAAUUUUUUAAAAUACUGUAAUGGAUUAAUUGGAUAUUCAUCCAUAAAAAUGUUAAUUAAUGCAUUUAUUAAAUUGAUCAUGAACACAUUAAGUUUGUUUUAUGAAUUUUGAAUGGAUAUUCAUAAAUGAAAUUGUGGUAUUUUUGCUAAUGAUAAUAUUUUUUCUCAUCAUUAUAUGUAGUUCAUCUCUCUUCUAAGAAGGUAAAAAGUUAUGCUUUGUUUGACAUGUUGUGGUAUGGUCUACUUUGAUUAUGCAUAACAAAAUUGUGUUUCAAGGCGUUUUCUUUUGACUUUAAUGGUGUUUUGUACUUGAUAAAAAAGGUUGUUUUGUAGACAUGGUAUGAGACUAUGAGCAAUACUGUCCGUUCUUUUUUAAUUAGUGUAUUGAUCAUGUAAUUUAUCUUUAUUUGUUCCUUUGGUUUUGCAUUAAUUGUAAUACAUAUGUAUUAGGAUUGGAAUACCCAUUGUACUCUUUUUCUUAAAAUAAAUAAAUAAAUAAAACUUUGCUUUUAAAAUAAAUGUACGUUAGCCGCACUCUCUUUUUAAUAUUUUCUCUUAUACCAUUAGCUGAAAAAAUUAACAAUUUUGGUGGGAUUUUGUUUCUUUUAAUGAGGUAUCUCUAUCUAUCUAUAUCGAUUUCGAAAUGAAAUCCAUCCAAAUUGAUGACAUUUUAUAAAUUUCAAGCAAUGGUAAUAGAGUAUUAGAAAAAGAGUGUCAAUUUUUUUUGCUAAUAUUCCUUAAAAAAAUAAGAUCGUAUGAGUUUUUUAGGUAGAAGCACUUUGGACAUUUAUUACCAAUCCAACUUUAAUUGUUUUUUUAUUUAUUAUUCACUACGGUGUGUUUGGAUCAACUGAAAAAAUUAGGUUAUUUUAAUAUUUGAUUAUAUUAAUAACAAUUAUUGGUAUAAUACAUUAUAAUCCGAAUAAGUUUUUGUUUGAGUUUGUUUCUUGUAAACUUAUAUAUUUUAAGAUAAUUAUUUUUGUAUGGAUGAAAAAAAUAAUUAUUUUUUAAUUAAAAAAAUACCUUUAAUUUUACAAAUUUGAGUUGUUUUUCAAAUUAUAUAAGAUUAACACACUAUAAAAAAACUAAAAUUUUCAAUAUACCGAAUCGUCAUUCAGAUAGUCUCUUCUCUCCAUGUGAAGAGUUAUAAAAAUUCUAUUAAGAAAUAAAAAAAACUUCCGGUUGAAGAAGAAUAAUGAAGUCACCUAUAUCCAUGUAAAUCUUGUUUCCUAUCAAAUCGUAAUAGCUACAACAUCACAAUAGUUUUGCAAGAUUGCAUGUGAAUCAAAUCGUAAAAAGGGUACAAUUCAAUAGUUUUGCAAAAAUAUAAUUGUAAUAGCUACAACAUCACAAUACUUCAAUUUCAAACAUGAAAUUAAACAUAUGACUUAAAACAACACUAAAAUUCUUUAUUAUAAUAUGUGGAGCCUCAAAAAAAGAAUUAAAAAGAAAUUACUUCUAUAUAUUGCUAGGAAACAGAAUCAUGAUUCCUCUAAAUCCAAGCUUUCAAACCAUUUUAUAUCCUAUUUAAGUCAAAUCGUUAAAACGUAUCUUUGUAUCCAUUUUAUGAAAGUGAAAAUCAUCUUUAAAAUAUUAAUGCUUUAGGCUAAGACAAAUCAUCCCCAUUUUCAUUGCAUCGGUUGGAAAUCAUUGUAGCACCCGGCCAUAUCAAAUAAAUUAGUAUGUAAAGCACUAUUUCUUCCUACUUAGUCUAACCAAAAUUAAUUAAAAUUAAUAGGAGAUUUGUUUUAAUUAGAGUUAGAGUCCUACAUUACAAAUUGAGAUUAUUUGAUUCAUUAAUAAAUUUUAAGAGCCAAACAUUUCACAAAAUUAAUCUUAUGUGUUUAACCCAUGAUAACCGAUAAAUAUGGAUUAUUUUUUAUAAUAAAAAUAUAUUAAAAAUAUCUUUAAAAAUAUUUAUUUAAUAAUUAUUUUUAGCUUAAAUAUUAUGAAUUGAUAUUUUUUUCUAUUUAUAACUUACAUGUAUGAAAAAGAGGAAUUAAAAAAGAAAAAAAGAUUAAAAAAUAUAAAAAAUAUAAAUAAGAAAAAUGUUGACAUUAAACCCAAGUCUAAGGAAAACAAUCACGUUAACAUUAUUAAGAUUGAGAACUCUCUCAACCUAUUUUUUUUUUGUUAUUUUAAAUUUAAUUUCUUAUCUCUUGCCUGUCAAUUAAAUUUAUAUUAAUUUAAGUAUAAACAAAAUUAAUACUUAAAUUUUUUAAUAUUUUACUAUUUAAGAUAAUUUGAUGCAUUUAUGAAUGAGUUACCAACCCACUCAUACACUACAAUUAUUCCCUUGAAAUUCAGCUAUUAACAAUGAAGAAUUGGCCAUAUAUAGUAGCAGAAGUGGAUAUAUACCGAUAGGGGAGGAUAACAAAAGCCAUUCAAAAACAAAGAAAAACAUAAUAUGUAGCUUUAUCCAUGUAUUAGGAUCAUAUUCGUGUAGCAUUAAAAGAACAAAGUUUUUCAGUGACAAACUCCUAAAAGCAUCAUGUCAAAGCCGUAGAAUCAACGAGCAUCCCAUAAAUAAAAAUAAAUAAAAUCACCAUAUUCAUGCACAAUUACACGUAGAAAUUAAUAAAAUCUUGUCCCCCGACAUCCGUACAACAAGAUAACGAAGAAAAACCCCGGUUGAAGUCUAUCAUAAACCCAAGGCCUUCAAUCCAAAACAUAUUGCAUUAAAUCAGGAGUUUCAACUUUCAAGCUAUUAAUCCAAUUAAGAUUUUAUAUCCUUUUUUUUAAUAUUCAACUUGAGCUAUCUAUCUCCAUUAUUAAAUCUAUAAAGUUCUGAAAAUGAAAAUUCAUCAUCCCUAUAGAACACAAAAUAAUACAGAUAGACAAGUGCAAAUUAUUACACAAAACUGAUAUUCAAACUAUACAAUAAAAAGAGGAUCGAAUGACAAUAAUGAGAGUGAUUAAAAAAAUAUACAAAUUCAAGGUCAUGAUGACAACUCUGAUUCUGUGAAUAGGGAGGUCCAUAUGAAUGAAGAAUAAAAGCCAGUCAUUACCUAGUGCUUAGUUAACUUUCUACUAGAAAUACUCUUCCUUCGGGUCACAUCAGGUGCCAACUAAUUCUACUUCUGCUCUGAGAAACUACCAUAAAAAUUUGUUUGGGAAUCCACAACCCUAACACCUUUUUCUACAAACCCCUAAUUGAAAAGAGAGUAUAAUAAACACAAAAAGCUUGUGGGGAAAAUUAAAAGAGAGGGAGAGGGAGAGAGCGCGAGAGAAAAAAUAAAAUUAAAAUAAUAUUUUUAAGAUAGUUUUAAAUAUUGUAUCAUGUACCAUAGAAAUGAUUAUAAAUGGAUCUAGAUUUAUGUCCUUGUCCCUGUAAAAGACUAAUAUUUUUAACAAAAUAAAUAAAAAAGUUAAAAUGAAACUAUAAAAAUUUAAAAUAAAACUUUUAAAAUUUAAUAUACUAAAUCAGAAAAGAAAAAUACUAAAAUAUAAACGAUGAAAAUAAUUUUUUUAAAACUUAAUAUUCCCUAAAAAUAAAAUAAAAAAUCCAAAGAACCAAAAGUACUAUAUAUCUGGAGGCCUAAAUGCCACAAACAAUCACACAACUAAAACGAAAAGGCAUCGUAUGGAUGGGGCAACGCAUUCAACAACUAAUGAUGCUCCAAAUUAAAUGAGUAAAUUUAUAAAUGUACAAUCCAUUUUUGUGUGGAUUGGACAAGGCAAUUAAGAGAGAUGUGAUAUCAUAGCAAAUAUAGAUAUUAAAAAAUAUAAGAUGAAAGAGUAUGAGUUCUAAGUAGGAUGUAUGUUUAUAAUGAUAACUCAUAAUACUAUUCUUCCUAAGCUCAUAAAUCCAUAACAUCCGAGUUUGAGUGAAACAUAAGACUUAGACUUGGUGUAUAUUUGAAUUAAAGUUGACGAUUUUAAUAUUAUAGUAGUUUUAUUGUAUAAGUUCAAGAAGGACUUUGGUCUUGCUUUUUUGUAAAUUUGAUUUCGAAUAUAAGUGUGUAAACAUACUCUUAAAGAUAACUAAACAUACUCUUAAAGAUAACUAAAUAUAUCAUAUGAAAUAAAAAUGAGUUUAUGCUCCAAACCAAGUUUAAAACACCAAAAUAAAAUCCAAACAUGUUGAUAUCGAUGUUAUUAAUAGUCUAAUGCAAAAGAAGCAAAUCGUAGACAGAAAAUGAUAACUAAAAGCAUUCACCAAAGCCCACCAUGGCAAAAGUUGUGAUUAGUAUAUAAUGUUGGAGCAUGUUGUGCUUAUUAGAAAUCGAAAGCUCCACCUUUGGUUUCUUUGAUGACAAUAUAUAAGAGUGCCGUUGAGGUAGGUGACGUUGUAGUAGAAAUUCAUGUCGGGGACAACACAUCGUGGUAGCACCUACUGAUGGGGUGACAACACAUCUUUAGCAGGACAAUUAAAGAAUAGUCGAUGAAGAAAAAUUGAAUAAAAAGCAAAAAAUAAUAUAUAUAUAUAUAUAUAUAUAUAUAUAUAUAUAUAUAUAUAUAUAUAUAUAUAUAUAUAUAUAUAUAUAUAUAUAUAUAUACCUUUCUAAUUAAAUAUUUUAAUAAUAUAAUAAAAUAAAAUAGUAAAUUAUAAAUUUAAAAAUACUAAAAUAAGUAAAUCUAAUAAUAUAUUACUAUGGGAUGAUAAUUUACUGAUGUUAUAGUAAUGAUAAACCAUUUUUAUCUUAAAUUUAAUAUUAUUAGAAAAUAAUAAAAACAUGUUAAACAAUAAUAAAUAUAAAAUAAUCUAAAUGAUUAAUUGUUGUUAUUAUGAAUCAUUUUCAAUGAAAAAUAUGAAUGAUAUCUUUUAUCUUCUUAGCUUUAAUGGUAGUUUUAUGUAGUUUUAGAAUAACCUAACUUUUAACCCUCUUACAAUUGAAAAAUAGUAAUAUAUAGAGGAAAUGAGGCUUAACUUGGGAACAAUAUAUAUUUAAAUACAAUAAAGUAUAAUCAGCAUUUGUGGUAUAAAUCUAGUCGGAAUCAUGUCUGUUUUCGUCAUGCAGGGGCAUAACAUUAGGCCUUCUAAUAAAAUGGUAAAUAUUAUUUUAUCCGUAUAUAAUACAUUCGUUGUUGGAGGAAGACAUAUUUUUACCAUAAUUUCUUAAAAAAAUAAAUCACUCAAUAAAGUGUUUCCUCCCAAGUCGUAAGAAAAUAAUCAAGCUAUAGAUGCGCUACGAAAUUAAUGUUUUGUAAAAUGAAAUAUAUAAAUAGGAAGAACUUGUAAAAAAAAAAAAUAGAGAUAAACAAUGAAGAAAAUAACCAUUAGUUAAAAUUCGUGAAAUGAGAAUAUCUGAGUAUAAAAUUACAACUAAUCUGAAGGAAUCUGCUAAACAACCUAAUCUUCUAUCAUUUUCAUUUGAUAUUUAAAUUAUUGACUGCUGAAACAAAACUCAUAAAAGAUAAAAUCUGCAACAACAAUAGAACUCUAUCUAAAACUUAUUCAAAAUUCAAAUAAGGCAGGUCUCAUAUCUUUAGCUAGACAAGAAGAUAUACUAUGAGGGCACUACUGACCCCGACCCUAUCACGUGCAUGCAUAUGAACUAUUAUCUACAAGUUGUCCCCACUGCCCAAGAACGAGAGCAAGUGCCAAAUGGCUCCAGCCCCAAACCACAGCGAGCAACACAAAACCAGUCCCCCAUGCCACUAGCUGUAUAUAUGCAGAUUACAAAAAGAGACGUGCACCACAUACAGAACAAAUUGAUGAAAAGUAUAAUAUAGUAUAUUUAUGAAUCACGAUUAAAAUAAAUUUCUAACAAUUACUUGAUUUUAAAAGCUUUUAUAGUUUUAAUUUCCAAAGGUUAUUAGUUUUAUUAAUAGUUUUUUAUACUCGUAUUAUAUUACAAAUAUAAUAAUGACUAAAUUAAGGUUAAUAUAUAUACCUCCUGAAUAUAUUUUGUAAAAAUACACAAACUUUCUCUAUUUUUUUAUUAUAAAAAAAUAAGGUUGCCAAGCCAUUGUUCAAAUCAAAGGGCGAUCCAAUAGUAGGUGAGAACUAAAAUAAAUUUUUAUUUUUUUUAUUUUAAAUGAAGAAUAAUACGUCGUAUUUUUUAAAUAAAUAUGGUCUUUUUAUUUUAUAAUAGCUAAUAAAAAAUUUAUAGAACUAAAUUUUACUUGUUUUAUUGUUGUUUUCACUCUCAUUCAAAGGAGUAAAAGAAUGAACUUGUCCCCGAUCCGAUAACCACACCCCACGCAGCGUAGUAAAUUUUCUUCAUCAAAAUUAUCUAUGUAAAACUCCAGCAGCAACUGGAAAAAGAUUUCGAUUUCUUUAGUUUCAGUACACCAAAGCACUCUCCAUGCGUGAAGUGAAACUAGAUGGUAUAUUCUGAAAGUGAUCCCGUGGAGAAUUUGGAAGAACAGAGAGGGUAUUCAGACAAAUUAUAGAAGCCACCGAUGAAUCAAUGAGUAGAAUAUGCUUCUUCUUUGAAGAUUAACUAUCCCCACCACGCCUGAAGGACUUAAAAGCUUCUAAAAUAAAUUUAAGAAUGAAUUUUUUUUAUUUAUUUAUAAAACUUAGUGUUCUUAUUUAUCAUUUAAAAAUGACACAUUUUAUUUUAUAAUAAUUUUUUUAAAGUAUAUUAGUACUAAAAAAUAUUUUAAUUUUUUUUUAAAACCUAAAGCCUUUCCUUGAGCUCCUUAGACCUUAAGCCGGUCCUUAUUAUCCCUGGGUGGGCAACUUGUUAAUGAUGAAUUGAAGACCCUUCAAACCUGUGUGCUACCUUAAGUAGGAGUGGAAUAUCAAUUGUUUCCACACUAGGGACAAAACUUCAUCAAACUCAUGAACUUACUCAGUCCCUUCCAGCGUGGAAUUCGCAACAACGACCCUCAGUCAUCUUCCUCUAUAUAUUACUACUCAGCUCUUAUACAUAGACCCACACAGUUAUACAACUCUAGAGAAUCAAGAAAAUUAUUUUAUAUAAAAAUAAUAUAUAUAUAUAUAUAUAUAUAUAUAUAUAUAUAUAUAUAUAUAUAUAUAUAUAUAUAUAUAUAACAUAUAAAUUAAAUAUUUUAACAAUAUAAUAAAGUAAAAUAGUAAAUUAUAAACUAUAAAAUACUUCAACAAUUAAGUUUAAUAAUACAUUAUUAGUGAAUAAUAACCUAUUGAUCUUAUAAUAAUGAUAAAUUAUGCUCAUCUCAAAUUUGUUGUUAUCAGAAAAUAAAACAUAUUUACUCAAAUUUGUUGUUAUUAGAAAACAAAACAUAUGUUAAAUAGUAAAUAUACAUAAAAUAAUCCAAAUAACUUACUGAUGUUGUUAUGAAUCAUUAUGAAUGAAAAAUGUGAAUGUUAUCUUUUAUCUUCUUAGCUUUAAUGAUAGUUUUAUGUAGUUUUAUAGUAACCUAACUUUUAACAUUCUUGCAAUUGAGAAAUAAUAAUGUAUAGAGGAAAUGAGGCUUAACUUGCGAACAAUAUAUAUUUAAAUACAAUAAAGUAUAAUCAGCAUUUGUGGUAUAAAUCUAGUUGGAAUCGCUUCUGUUUUCGUCAUGCAGUGGCAUACCUUUGGGCCUUCUAAUAAAAUGGUAAAUAUUAUUUUAUCCGUAUAUAAUACAUUCGUUGUUGGAGGAAGACAUAUUUUUACCAUAAUUUCUUAAAAACAAUAAAUCACUCAAUAAAGUGUUUCCUCCCAAGUCGCAAGAAUCAAGCUCUAGAUGCGCUAGGAAAUGUUUUGUAAAAUGAAAUAUAUAAAUAGGAAGAACUUGUAAAAAAAUAGAGAUAAACAAUGAAGAAAAUAGCCAUUAAAAUUCAUAAAAUGAGAAUAUCUAAGUAUAAGAUUACAACGAAUCUGGAUGAAUCUGCUAACAACCUAAUCUUCUAUCAUUUUCAUUUGAUAUUUAAAAUAAUUAACUGCUAAAACAAAACUCAUAAAAGAUAAAAUCUGCAACAAUAAUUGAACUCUAUCUAAAACUUAUUCUAAAUUCAAAAUUCAAGUAAGGCAAGUCUCAUAUCUUUAGCGAGAGAAAAGAAAAUACUAUCACGCCAAUACUGACCCCGACCCUAUCAGAUGCAUGAACUUUUAUGGAAAGUUGUCCCCACUCCCCAAACCCAAAACCGCAGCCAGCAACACAAAACCAGUCCCCCAUGCAAUAGCUGUAUAUAUGCAGAUUACAAAAUUAAAAGAGACACCACAGAACAAAUGAAUGAAAAGUAUAAUAGUAUAUUUAUGAACGAAGAUGAAAAUAAAUUUCUAACAAUUAAUUAAUUUUAAAAGCUUUCAUAGUUUUAAUUUGCAAAUGCUAUUAGUUUUAUUAAUAGUAUAUAGAUACUUGUAUUAUAUUACAAAUAUAAUAAUGAAAAAAUUAAGGUUAAUAUGCCUCCUAGAAUAUAUUUUGUAAAAAUACACAAACUUUCCAAAUUUUAUUUUUUAUUUUAAAUGAAAAAUAGUAUGUCGUAUUUUUUAAAUAAAUAUGAUUUUUUUAUUUUAUAAUAGCUAAUAAAAAAAAUUUGGAGAACUAAAAUUUAAAUUUUAGUUAUUUUAUUGUUGUUUUCACUCUCAUUUAAAGGAGUAAAAGAAUGAACUUGUCCCCGAUAACCACGCUACACAGCCUAGUAAAUUUUCUACACCAAAAUGAUCUAUGUAAAACUCCAGCAGCAGCUGGAAAAUACUCCGAUUCCUCUAGUUCCAGGUACACCAAAACACUCUCCAUGCGUGAAGUGAAACUAGAUGGUAUUUGCUGAAAGUGAUCCCGUGGAGAAUUUGGCAGAACAGAGAGGGUAUUCAGACAAAUUAUAGAAACCACCGAUGAAUCAGUGAGUAGAAUAUGCUUCUUCCUUGAAGAUUAACUAUCCCUAGUGGGCAACUUGUUAAUGAUGAAUUGAAGACCCUUCAAACCGUGUGUGCUACCUUAGGUAGGCGUGGAAUAUCAAUUAUUUCCACACUAGGAACAAAACUUCAUUAAACUAAUGAACUUACUCAGUCCCUUCUAGCGUGGAAUUCGCAACAACGACCCUCAGUCAUCUUCCUCUAUAUAUUACUCCUCAGCUCUUAUAUUUAGACGCACACAGUUAUACAGCUCAAGAGAAUUAUCAUACCCUUUAAGAUGAAACCGUACCUACGUCCAAUAUUCCUAUUAUUCCUUAUCCUUCUCGACCAAUCCACUUCGGCGAGUGCUUCUAAGAGUAGGUUUAUAGAAUUCUUUUCAAAAUUAAAGAAUUCUUUUAAUCCUAAGUCUGAAGAACUCAAAUCAAAAGAUAUAAAGAAGCUCCCGAGCGUCGAAUUUUUGAAGAAGAAACAUGACGGAGUUAAGGACUUCUCUCAAGAAGCUAACCUGAAAAUACCAACCUGGAUAGGAAGAAUAAUACGAAACCGGAAAGGAAAGCCGUCCCAGAAACCAAAGCACCCUCCCCCACCGCCAGACUACCGUGUACAACUAAAGUCCGAUCCCCCAGCGCCAAACGCACCACCGAAGCAAAUCAAUAUUAAGGGCCUGUCCGUCGUCAAAGAUUACUUAUCUGACUACGGCUACAUUGAAUCCUCUGGGCCAUUUACCGAUUCUUUCGACCAGGAAAUAAUAUCAGCCAUUAAGACCUACCAGAAUUUUUCCAAUCUUCAAGUUACCGGCGGCCUGAACAAACAGCUUAUUCAGCAAAUGUUGUCCAUACGAUGCGGUGUCCCCGACGUUAACUUCGACUACAACUUCACCGACGACAACAUUUCCUAUCCCAAAGCCGGACACCGCUGGUUCCCAAACAGAAACCUCACAUACGGUUUUCUUCCCGAAAACCAAAUCCCAGACAACAUGACUAAGGUGUUCAGAGAUUCCUUUGCGAGGUGGGCCCAAGCCUCGGGGACUUUGAGUCUCAGGGAGACAACCUACGACAACGCCGACAUCCAGGUAGGGUUCUACAACUUCACUAACUCGAGGAUUGAAGUGUAUGGUGGCAGCACUAUAUUUUUGCAACCGGAUUCUAGUAAGAAAGGGGUGGUACUUCUGGACGGUAACAUGGGCUGGUUACUUCCAAGUGAAAACGCCACACUGUCUAAAGAUGAUGGAGUUUUGGACUUGGAGACUGUGGCGAUGCACCAGAUAGGGCAUCUACUUGGACUUGAUCACUCUCACAAAGAGGACUCUGUUAUGUAUCCUUACAUAUUGUCAUCACAGUCAGAGCAACGAAAGGUGCAGCUUUCCAAUUCUGACAAGGCCAACAUUCACCUUCAGUUUGCUAAGCAUGAUUAGGAUGUGACUUCUCUGCUGCCAAACUCGCAUGACUCAGCAAGCCACGGUGGGGGUUUGGAUGUGCUUUUAGUUACCACUUUCUCUCUUGGAUUUGCUUACGUAUUGCUCCUUUUGUAUUAGUCGUUCCUGUCCCACCUUGCUUUUGGAAUUAUGAGCUUUUUAUAUUUCUGAUUGUUCAAUGUUUAUUGUAUGUGCUCCCCAACCUGUGGUGACUUUUCGGUUUAUUCUCACGUGGCUGUUUCUUAUAGGCCUUUCGACCUCCAAUAUUAAAUAAAAGAUCAUUUUGAGCUUUCUAAUUUUAA